rnacentral:miRNA from 1 species
ACAAAAAAAAAAGCCCAACCCUUC